UAACGCGAAGAACCUUACCCGGGCUUAAAUUGCACCUGAAUAAUGUGGAAACAUGUUAGCCGUAAGGCAGGUGUGAAGGUGCUGCAUGGUUGUCAUCAGCUCGUGCCGUGAGGUGUCGGCUUAAGUGCCAUAACGAGCGCAACCCUUAUCUUCAGUUACUAACAGGUCAUGCUGAGGACUCUGGAGAGACUGCCGUCGUAAGAUGUGAGGAAGGUGGGGAUGACGUCAAAUCAGCACGGCCCUUACGUCCGGGGCUACACACGUGUUACAAUGGGAGGUACAGAAGGCCGCUACCUGGCGACAGGAUGCCAAUCCCCAAAACCUCUCUCAGUUCGGAUCGAAGUCUGCAACCCGACUUCGUGAAGCUGGAUUCGCUAGUAAUCGCGCAUCAGCCAUGGCGCGGUGAAUACGUUCCCGGGCCUUGUACACACCGA
rnacentral:rRNA from 1 species